rnacentral:misc_RNA from 1 species
AACUGAUACUACCUGCGGGAACCUGCGGAGGGAUCAUUACUGAAGUGAUUUGGGGACGUUGCUGGCCCUCUCUCAAGGGGGGGCACUGUGCACUCCUCGAAACAAUUCACAAUUUCCAUCACACCCCUUGUGCACACCUUGUAGGCACCCAAACCCACCUCCGGGUGGUGGGGUCCUAUGUAUUCCUUCAUCUCACACUCUGUUGAAUGGUGCCAUGGGACGCAUCUAAAGGAUUAUUUG